GUAAAGUGGGAAGUCCCGGCGCUGGGGUGAUGGGCCUGUGGGGGCGGUGAUGGGCCUGUGGUGGGGGCGGUGAAGCGUGAGAAUGAAAGUGUAAAGGGGGCUGUGCCAGAACCCGCUUCCACUUACUACUCAUGUGUAAGUACGUUGUAUGUACUGUACACGUACAACGUUACAGCUAGCACCAUAGUCAGCAGCCAUCACAGACUAUUCCAAAUAACCCGCGAAUUGGCGUUUUAGACUUAGUCUCCAGUCGCGCGUACUGCAUGUUUCGCCAGAAAUGGCUAGGCUGUAGUGUAAAAAAAAAAAUACGCUGACCGUCCCGAAGGCAACUGUGAAAGACAAAAUGCGAAUGUAGUCUGGUGCCUUGACCUGGUUGGAGAUUUGUUUUGGUGAAUCCCAAAAGCCCGAGUCGGUAGCCUGACGAAAAACAAAAUGGCGUUGUCCUUUGCCAAACUCAGCUUGAAAUGUACUGCGUACCUCCGCUUUCCUUGUGACUUUUGUUAAGACCAGUGGAUGACAAUGGACAAAUGUGAGGAGUCUCAAGAUGUGGACAUAGCUAUUCUUUCUGAUGAUGAGCAGCCAAAAAGUAUCACUGAUGGUGGUGAGACACUACCUCACUUCCAGUUCUUUGAUGGACAAGGAGCUGCACAUAACAGCACUGACAGACCAAUUGAGGGUUUUGUGGCUCUCAAAAUAACUUACGAGCAUGUCUUCAGAAAACAGCGAGAAAAGACCAGGCUGUUGCAGCAGAAAAAUCAACAACUUGUUGCGGAGCUCAAGCAGCUAAGAAAGGAAAGCAAGAGCUCAAGAUGCCAUUUAAUGGUUUCCUUCAUUUCCAACAUGUGAGUAAAGACAAUGUAAAUGGAAUCAACAGAAACAUGACUACCUUGUCCUCUCGCCUUUAGCGCUGCGCUUCGUAACUUGUACACAUGGCUGGCCGGCUGGCCACGGCGGGGGCAGCAUACAGACUCCUGUCUGAAGUCCGCAUCAAGCAUGAAUCAAGUGGAUUUUUCAAGCAACCAGUGACAGCGCAUCAAGCAGAGAUCAAGCUUGGAUCAAGCAGGGACCAGGCAGUGAUCGAGCAGAGAUCAAGCGGGAUUGGAGCACACAUUGAGUGAGAUUCGAGCACACAUUGAGUAUGGACUCAGUCAGCAUCGAGCGGCUCGACAAUCAAGUAUUUUGAGCCGCUUAAUAUGUAACCUAAAUCAUGAAAUGGACUGUACAUGCAUGUUCAAAAAGGGAGAAUGAACAUAAAGAAUUCUUCAUUAAAACUUUCAUUGUUUCAGUUUUAUUUAACAGUUUUUGCUUGGUAAUUAUAAGCCAUGUUUCCACUUGACUUUUUAUUUUAUUCAUUUAUAUUUUGGGUAAAACUACCACAGCUGAGUAGAAGAAUUAUGAAAUUAAGACAAAUCAUUUUAAAAUGCCCAAGAGAGUGACAUUCCUGUGUGUUACAAUGUGAUUGUGGUCGGUCAGCAGGCUGUCGGUGGUUGCAGAAAUUUCUGUAGAGCUUAAAUAAUUUCACAGAUCCUGAUUAGAGCACCCUAUUUGUAUUGUAUCAUUCUCAUAUCUUUUUUACUUAAGGGAGGGUCGGUCAGUCAGAAAAAAAAUGAAAUUCCUAAAAAAAAAUUCCACUAUGUAUACUUGUCACUUGUUUUUAUAAUGAGUACCGUGAAUGCCUUUGUUUCGAGCUGAGUACAAAGAAAUGUUUUAUCAGUACACAAAGCAAUAGGCCUACUUGAAUGAAACUACCGAAACUGGUUGCAAAUGUAGUGUCAUAACAAUUUUUAAAUAAAACAAGAGAAUGAAAUGUGUAACAAAAGGUUAUAUGAAUAGUUUAAAUACCGGUAUUAAAAUAAAGAGAAAAAUAUAUGACAAACAA